UACGAAGGGGGCUAGCGUUGCUCGGAAUUACUGGGCGUAAAGCGCACGUAGGCGGAUUGUUAAGUCGGGGGUGAAAUCCUGGAGCUCAACUCCAGAACUGCCUUCGAUACUGGCGAUCUCGAGUUCGGGAGAGGUGAGUGGGACUGCGAGUGUAGAGGUGAAAUUCGUAGAUAUUCGCAAGAACACCAGUGGCGAAGGCGGCUCACUGGCCCGAUACUGACGCUGAGGUGCGAAAGCGUGGGGAGCAAACAGG
rnacentral:rRNA from 1 species